ensembl:lncRNA
CAGAUAGGCUACCGCUGGGCCUGCCCUACCGCAACGAUACGCAUCAAGGAGGAUGGAUGGGAGGAAGAGGCCAGGAGGGGCUGAAAAAGCCAGGUUAAAAAAAAGAAAGGCAUUGGUGGAGGAUGCUGCCAAAUGUGCCAAGCUUACCGAUUUAUUUUCAAGAGGACAAACACAAGUGGCAACUGGAUUUUUGUCUGGCCUAUGUUGUAAUAACCCUUGUAGAGGAUCAUUUUGGGAAGACGCAAAUAGGACCCUUUAAAUUCGCUGCAUAGCCAACGUCAGGCAAUGUUUCUCCCCAAACCUCCAAAGAGAUGAUGCUGCUCAGGGUACUGAGCCCCUGACUAAGGUCAGUCACUUUAAA